CUUGAACUCAGGCUUCACAGAGUCUGGGGCUAGGAGAAGCUGAACUAAGGUGAUAGAAGCAGAAGCCGCAAUCUGGAAAGGGAGUCUGUACCAAAGGCUAGGGUGGAGGCUGUGGUAGAAGUGUCGCUAAUCUGCGUGAGAGACGCCUGUCAUCCUUUGAAGAAUGAUUGCCCUGGGAAACGGGUGGGCAGGAAACUGGGAUCCAUCAACAGCAGUCUUGACAGCUUUGGGGUGUAGGUAGCUGCUGGCAAAAACAAUUACAAUUUAGCACCAGAAUUAUGUCAUUUGUAUGCCAUGCUUUACUCGUAACUCGCACGCAUAAUCCGUUUAAGAGCUCUAACUAACAUUGUGUUGACUUGGAGGCUGAAGAUAUUUUGAUGAAGUAACAGAUGGGCAAUGUCAGGAGAGCGACAGGCUGCCUGGGCUCCAGAUCUCCUCAAGUGGACACUUAGGGAGCUCACAAGUCAGAAAGGGAUUUUUAAAAUUAUGCGACAGAAAAACUUGUAAUGAAUUUAAAAUUUUUGAACAUUUUCUAGCCAUUCCUUCUUUCCCAAAAUUUUUACAUUUUGGCUCUUUGAAAACAGGGACUCCUAAGCCUUCAGUGUUUUCUUUAUACCAACAAGCUAUGCUUUCUCAUGGCAGAGAAAGGAAACUUUAUUAGUGGGAAGAAGCAAUUUGCCAGUUUUAUAGAAUUUUCCUGUAUUGAGGGAUUUCUAGGAAAACACAAAGAAUGAGAUGCAGAAAUAGCUUAAGUGGGUUUGGGAGUGGAAAUGGGAGCUAGAGAUGAAAGGGGUGAGGGAAGGAAGAGGGGGGUCUAUAUUAAGAUAUAGGUAUGAGAUCAUGUGACCAGGGAGAAUUGCGGAUUCUACAAGGUAAGUUGACAGGCUGCAAAGUCAGAGAAAGCUAAGGUUUUAGUAGGGUAAAGCCUAUUUGUUAGCAGAAUUCUCGUUCUUGGAGAAAGCCCAUCUUGUUUUAUUUUAUUUCUACUUGAAUACAAAUAUUUGUAGCAGCUAUAUUCACAAUAGUCCCAAGCUGAAGACAAACUAAAUUUCUAGCAACAGAUGAACAGGUUAAUAAAUUGGCCUACAACAGACUAUUCAACAAUAGAAGAUGGAAACUGUUGGUUAGUGCAACAUCAAUGCUUUUCAAAAUAAUAAUAGUGAAUGCAAAAAGACAAGGAGUCCCUACCUCAUUCCAGCUUCCAGAGAACCAAAUGAAGCCUACCCAAAGACAGAGAAUAAUCUAUAUGUUAAUCCCACUUAAAAAUACCUUCAGUAGGGGAGGGGAAAGGCAGGGAGGGGAGCAGAGAAAAAUGUAGCACUCAAUAAAAUAAAAAAAAAACAAAACAGAAUACCUUCAG